rnacentral:rRNA from 1 species
UACGUAGGCAGCAAGCGUUGUUCGGAAUUACUGGGCGUAAAGGGUGUGUAGGCGGUUGUUUUAAGUUUGGUGUGAAAUCUCCCGGCUCAACUGGGAGGGUGCGCCGAAUACUGAGCGACUAGAGUGCGGGAGAGGAAAGUGGAAUUCCUGGUGUAGCGGUGAAAUGCGUAGAUAUCAGGAGGAACACCGGUGGUGUAGACGGCUUUCUGGACCGUAACUGACGCUGAGACACGAAAGCGUGGGGUAGCAAACAGG